UACGUAGGCAGCAAGCGUUGUUCGGAAUUACUGGGCGUAAAGAGUGUGUAGGCGGUGCUCCAAGUCUGGUGUGAAAUCUCCCGGCUUAACUGGGAGGGUGCAUUAGAAACUGGAAUGCUAGAGGAUGGGAGAGGUAAGCGGAAUUCCUGGUGUAGCGGUGAAAUGCGCAGAUAUCAGGAAGAACACCCGUGGCGAAGGCGGCUCUCUGGGACGGUACUGACGCUGAGACGGCGAAAGCGUGGGGAGCGAACAGG
rnacentral:rRNA from 1 species